rnacentral:lncRNA from 1 species
GAUGAAGCAAGAGAAGACCUGAUGGUAGGCAACACCACUUUGUUGACGAGUGAUUAUACCAAUCCAGCCAUCUUUUCAUUGAGUUUACUGUCAGAAAAUGCAUACAUCUCUGCAGUUAUUUUACAGAUAAAGCAAUUCAUCAUGAUCUGUACAGUUCAUGUCUACACUCUGAGUAGACAUGAUCUGCAGAGGCAUUUGGUUGAGUUGGUGACAGUCUGGCAGGUACACAUGAUCUGCACAGGCAUUUGGUUGACCCUGCAAUCUAACCAUUUCUUACUGUUGUUGCCGUGUUGGUGUUUGUGCUGAAAGGAUCGUGAAGCGUCCGUGCCUGCGGUACAGGUCUCACAUGGGCCGCAAUUUAUCGAGGUCCGUACCUCUAUGAUGCUCUCGGAUUAAUGGCCGCCAUUUGUCUAUGCGCAACCAGAUGAGCAUACCUAGGGUCCAGAGAUGGCAUCGAUUCUGUGCUGCUGAUCGAGAUUUGAAUCAAUACUAAUUUUUAAAGGCUCUGUGUCUGGCUUUGUGGAUCCUAUGUAGGUAGUGAGUGGUGUCUGAGGUAAUUGUGUCCAUGGAAUAAUCUUGACCUGAAAUAUCGUUUGGAUGGAGCACUGUGCAAUACAUACAUUUGUGCCAGAGGAAGAUGGAAAUGUAAAUUUUCUUUUUAAUGCACCAUUUGGAACCUAGGAAAUUUUCCUGGAAAGUUCCUUUUUUUACCCUAGACACUGGUUUAUUUGAAAUCCUGCAUUUCAAACUUGAGUUUGUUCGAUUUGCAUAUGGGGGACCCUCUGAUAUUUCAGACCCUGGUUUGGAUGCUCCAAAUGAUAAAUGUUUUUGGACAAUGGUAUUUACAGGUGCCAAACCAGCAAGUUCCAUUGUGCUCGGUGCCAAGACUGUUAGCUGUGUCUGGCUGAUGGGUGAUGUGGCGGACUCCAGGCUCAUUUUAUUUUGAGCAGUGGUAACAUGGUUCAAAAUGUGUUUGCAUCUGAAAGAUAUGUUAG